rnacentral:rRNA from 1 species
UGGGGAAUUUUCCGCAAUGGGGGCAACCCUGACGGAGCAACGCCGCGUGCGGGAGGACGGCCUGUGGGUUGUAAACCGCUUUUCUCAGGGAAGAAGAACUGACGGUACCUGAGGAAUCAGCAUCGGCUAACUCCGUGCCAGCAGCCGCGGUAAGACGGAGGAUGCAAGCGUUAUCCGGAAUUAUUGGGCGUAAAGCGUCCGUAGGCGGUUCAUCAAGUCCGCUGUCAAAGGCUACAGCUCAACUGUGGGAAGGCAGUGGAAACUGAUGAACUAGAGUGCGGUAGGGGUAGAGGGAAUUCCCAGUGUAGCGGUGAAAUGCGUAGAUAUUGGGAAGAACACCAGUGGCGAAGGCGCUCUACUGGGCUGCAACUGACGCUGAGGGACGAAAGCUAGGGGAGCGAAAGGGAUUAGAUACCCCCGUAGUCC